UACGUAGGGUGCGAGCGUUAAUCGGAAUUACUGGGCGUAAAGCGUGCGCAGGCGGUUUUGCAAGCCGGAUGUGAAAUCCCCGGGCUUAACCUGGGAAUGGCAUUUGUGACUGCAUCGCUGGAGUGCGGCAGAGGGGGAUGGAAUUCCGCGUGUAGCAGUGAAAUGCGUAGAUAUGCGGAGGAACACCGAUGGCGAAGGCAAUCCCCUGGGCCUGCACUGACGCUCAUGCACGAAAGCGUGGGGAGCAAACAGG
rnacentral:rRNA from 1 species